GUCGAGCGCGUCUGAUUUGAUGCUUGCAUUGAUGAAAGAUGAGCGGCGGACGGGUGAGUAACGCGUGGGUAACCUGCCCUAUACACAUGGAUAACAUACUGAAAAGUUUACUAAUACAUGAUAAUAUAUAUUUACGGCAUCGUAGAUAUAUCAAAGUGUUAGCGGUAUAGGAUGGACCCGCGUCUGAUUAGCUAGUUGGUGAGAUAACUGCCCACCAAGGCGACGAUCAGUAGCCGACCUGAGAGGGUGAUCGGCCACAUUGGAACUGAGACACGGUCCAAACUCCUACGGGAGGCAGCAGUGGGGAAUAUUGCACAAUGGGCGCAAGCCUGAUGCAGCAACGCCGCGUGAACGAUGAAGGUCUUCGGAUCGUAAAGUUCUGUUGCAGGGGAAGAUAAUGACGGUACCCUGUGAGGAAGCCCCGGCUAACUACGUGCCAGCAGCCGCGGUAAUACGUAGGGGGCUAGCGUUAUCCGGAUUUACUGGGCGUAAAGGGUGCGUAGGUGGUCUUUCAAGUCGGUGGUUAAAGGCUACGGCUCAACCGUAGUUAGCCUCCGAAACUGGAAGACUUGAGUGCAGGAGAGGAAAGUGGAAUUCCCAGUGUAGCGGUGAAAUGCGUAGAUAUUGGGAGGAACACCAGUAGCGAAGGCGGCUUUCUGGACUGCAACUGACACUGAGGCACGAAAGCGUGGGUAGCAAACAGGAUUA
rnacentral:rRNA from 1 species